AACGCGAAGAACCUUACCUGGGCUCGAACGGCUUCAGACAGUCGUGGAAACACGAUCUUCCCCUUAAAAGGACUGGAGUCGAGGUGCUGCAUGGCUGUCGUCAGCUCGUGUCGUGAGAUGUUGGGUUAAGUCCCGCAACGAGCGCAACCCUUGUCCUGUGUUGCCACUCCGUAAGGAAGCACUCUCAGGAGACCGCCAGCGAUAAGCUGGAGGAAGGUGGGGAUGAUGUCAAGUCAUCAUGGCCUUUAUGUCCAGGGCUACACACGUGCUACAAUGGGCGGUACAAAGCGCUGCAAACCCGCGAGGGGGAGCUAAUCGCAAAAAACCGUUCUCAGUUCGGAUCGCAGGCUGCAACUCGCCUGCGUGAAGCUGGAAUCGCUAGUAAUGGCGUAUCAGAAUGAUGCCGUGAAUACGUUCCCGGGCCUUGUACACACCGUAGUAC
rnacentral:rRNA from 1 species